rnacentral:rRNA from 1 species
UGUUGGGUUGAGUCCCGCAACGAGCGCAACCCUUAUCCUUUGUUGCUAGCGAUUAGGUCGGGCAACUAAAGGUCACUGCCAGUGGUAGACUGGAGGAAGGUGGGGAUGACGUGAAGUCAUCAUGGCCCUUACGACCAGGGAUACACACGUGCUACAAUGGCGCAUACAAAGAGAAGCGACCUCGCGAGAGCAAGCGGACCUCAUAAAGUGCGUCGUAGUCCGGAUUGGAGUCUGCAACUCGACUCCAUGAAGUCGGAAUCGCUAGUAAUCGUGGAUCAGAAUGCCACGGUGAAUACGUUCCCGGGCCUUGUACACACCGCCCGUCACACCAUGGGAGUGGGUUGCAAAAGAAGUAGGUAGCUUAACCUUCGGGAGGGCGCUUACCACUUUGUGAUUCAUGACUGGGGUGAAGUCGUAACAAGGUAACCGUAGGGGAACCUGCGGUUGGAUCACCUCCUUACCUUAAAGAA